rnacentral:rRNA from 1 species
AGUGAACGCUGGCGGUAGGCCUAACACAUGCAAGUCGAACGGCAGCACAGUAAGAGCUUGCUCUUACGGGUGGCGAGUGGCGGGCGGGUGAGGAAUACAUCGGAAUCUACUUUUUCGGGGGGGAUAACGUAGGGAAACUUACGCUAAUACCGCAUACGACCUACGGGUGAAAGCAGGGGAUCUUCGGACCUUGCGCGAUUGAAUGAGCCGAUGUCGGAUUAGCUAGUUGGCGGGGUAAAGGCCCACCAAGGCGACGAUCCGUAGCUGGUCUGAGAGGAUGUUCAGCCACCCUGGAACUGAGACACGGUCCAGGCUCCUACGGGAGGCAGCAGUGGGGAAUAUUGGGCAAUGGGCGCAAGCCUGAUCCAGCCAUACCGCGUGGGUGAAGAAGGCCUUCGGGUUGUAAAGCCCUUUUGUUGGGAAAGAAAAGCAGCAGGUUAAUACCCCGCUGUUCUGACGGUACCCAAAGAAUAAGCACCGGCUAACUUCGUG